rnacentral:rRNA from 1 species
UGAAACUUCGGUCGAUUUAAUUUAAUUCUAGUGGCGGACGGGUGAGUAACGCGUGGGUAACCUACCUUAUACAGGGGGAUAACAGUCAGAAAUGACUGCUAAUACCGCAUAAGCGCACAGGACCGCAUGGUCCGGUGUGAAAAACUCCGGUGGUAUAAGAUGGACCCGCGUUGGAUUAGCUAGUUGGUGAGGUAACGGCCCACCAAGGCGACGAUCCAUAGCCGGCCUGAGAGGGUGAACGGCCACAUUGGGACUGAGACACGGCCCAGACUCCUACGGGAGGCAGCAGUGGGGAAUAUUGCACAAUGGGGGAAACCCUGAUGCAGCGACGCCGCGUGAAGGAAGAAGUAUCUCGGUAUGUAAACUUCUAUCAGCAGGGAAGAAAAUGACGGUACCUGACUAAGAAGCCCCGGCUAACUACGUGCCAGCAGCCGCGGUAAUACGUAGGGGGCAAGCGUUAUCCGGAUUUACUGGGUGUAAAGGGAGCGUAGACGGAUGGACAAGUCUGAUGUGAAAGGCUGGGGCUCAACCCCGGGACUGCAUUGGAAACUGCCCGUCUUGAGUGCCGGAGAGGUAAGCGGAAUUCCUAGUGUAGCGGUGAAAUGCGUAGAUAUUAGGAGGAACACCAGUGGCGAAGGC